rnacentral:lncRNA from 1 species
AUUGUAAAUAAGCAAUAGUCAUAGAAUAUAGUCAUCAGUGUUGGAUCUCAUGUUUAACCAGGAGUGAUGGUGAUCAUCUGAAAUUCAAGCUGUACCUGAGGUUGAUGGAGGAUAGCAAAGUUGGGGCCAGUUUGGACAACUUGAAAAUCAAAGCAUACCUACAGUAACCACGUGGCUCCAUUGGCUGAAAUGAACUCUAUUGUUGUGUGGCUCAGAGACAGGAAAGAAAGGCAAUGGCAGUGCUUCUCUAAGAGAAAGUUCUCGGAGACAGGUCCCAAAGACCUGCUGGCACAACAGAAAGGAACAUUUCAAGAAUCAAUCAUCAAAGGACUCCAAAAAUGGAAGGAUGAAGUUGUCAGUUCAGGGAAAUCAAGACAACAGCACUGUGAGUUCCUCAGAAUUUCUUUUUAUCUGAUGUGUAUUCAUUCCGGCCUAGGUUAUAGAAAUUC